rnacentral:tRNA from 1 species
ACUAUUUUGGCAGAAGAGUGUAUUAGAUUUAGAAUCUAAUUAUAUGAUAUUUAUAUCAUAAGUAGUA